rnacentral:lncRNA from 1 species
UUGUUUUCAUUUUUUGUUUCGAAAAGGGUAUUGUUUUCAUUUUUUGCCCCGAACCACUGAACGGCUCUGUUUGCAGCUGCAGCUGAUAAAUUAGAAUCUUGAUCUGUUAUCAUGAUUUCACAAUCCAGCAAUAAUAAGUACAAAAUUGUUACCAUUAUUAGAUUACAAGUUUCCUCACAAUUCAAGUGUAUUUUCCAAACUAGGAGGGAAUGAAAGACAACAAGGCACGAGAUUUUUCCAAACUAUUGGGGUGGUGGCUCAGUGAUGACCUUUCCUUUCUCUCUUAGCUUGGCUAUAGACUCUUUCAAAGCUUCCUUCCUCUUCUUACUAGCUAGAACUUUCGCCGUCAAGGCGUUCACACCUGGAUCUUUUUUCUCCGCCGGUGGUUGCGGCGGAGGCCUCCGUGAUGCGGCGUUUGCAUUCCUAUCACCACCCAAAUUCAAGCCCAGCACCAAACCAGCCAAACCCAAGGUAGUAGUCCUGCAUUACAUAUUACAUGACACACCCACACCCACACUCAUUAAUGAUACCUAAUUUUAUUCUCUCGGUUCAAACGUAGCAUUGGGUACGUUUGAUAUAAAAUGCAGGUCAAGAGAGUAAGAGAACACAAGGAUAUAAAUAGAUACCUGCGAUGAACAAGUCUACAAUCUUGAGGAGGUUGAGCAGAAGACUGAAGUCUAUGAAACCCUAAAGAUGGAAGAUGAUGAGCAGCAGCAUUCUUGUUUGAGAUGGGUGGUAGUGCAGCUGCAGUAACAGGCGCUAAAGGGGUUAGUGUAUGAACCAUGAUUGUGAUUGGGUGGUUGUUUUGAGUGAAUUUACAUUUUUAAAUCUACAUGUGAUGGGAAAAUUAAAAUUAAAAACACUACUGUGUGUGUGUGGCUAGUGUGUGUUUGAUGGUUUUUGGAUAGAAAUGGAAGAUGAAGUGAUAAGGUGGAUUUUGGAUAAGGUAUCAUAUUUGUGGGCCCUGCUUGGCUAGUCUAGUCUUCACCAUUUCUACAGUCAUUUGUUUUGUUUUCUAUAUCUGAAUUGUUAAAUCCACAAUAGAAAUUAUUAUUUUCACAACAAAAGUAUCGUUAUA